UACGUAGGGUGCAAGCGUUGUCCGGAAUUAUUGGGCGUAAAGAGCUCGUAGGCGGUUUGUCGCGUCUGCUGUGAAAACGCGAGGCUCAACCUCGCGCCUGCAGUGGGUACGGGCAGACUAGAGUGCGGUAGGGGAGAUUGGAAUUCCUGGUGUAGCGGUGGAAUGCGCAGAUAUCAGGAGGAACACCGGUGGCGAAGGCGGGUCGCUGGGCAGUAACUGACGCUGAGGAGCGAAAGCGUGGGGAGCGAACAGG
rnacentral:rRNA from 1 species